rnacentral:rRNA from 1 species
UGGGGAAUUUUGGACAAUGGGGGCAACCCUGAUCCAGCGACGCCGCGUGGAGGACGAAGGUCUUCGGAUUGUAAACUCCUUUUGAGGGGGAUGAAUGCCUGAGUGAAUAACUCAGGGUGACAGUACUCCUCGAAUAAGCCACGGCUAACUACGUGCCAGCAGCCGCGGUAAUACGUAGGUGGCAAGCGAUACUCGGAAUCACUAGGCGUAAAGCGCAGGUAGGCGGUUUGGUAAGUCUUUUGUGAAAGCUCCUGGCUCAACUGGGAGAGGUCAAAGGAAACUACUAGGCUAGAGUUUGGUAGGGGAUACUGGAAUUCCUGGUGUAGCGGUGAAAUGCGUAGAUAUCAGGAGGAAUACCUAUGGCGAAAGCAGGUAUCUGGGCCACAACUGACGCUGAGCUGCGAAAGCUAGGGGAGCAAACAGGAUUAGAUACCCCCGUAGUCC